GGAGGGGUGUCCGAGCGGUUUAAGGUGCAGCUCUCGAAAAGCUGUGUGGUGCAAGCCACCGCGAGUUCGAAUCUCGCCCCCUCCG
rnacentral:tRNA from 1 species